GUUCAUAACAGGUUUGCCGGGUUUGGUUCUUAUUGUUUUCAGUUUCACAGUUUUUUUGUUUUACUUUCACUUCACUUUCACUAAAUGCUUAGAAGGUUUUUGCAGAAACGUGCAGAGAGUCUGUCUUUUAAAGACUCUAAACAAUCGUAUAUAGAUAUCCCGGACAGGCGUUUACAGUAAAGGAGAGCUCCGGGUCGGACACAUUCUUUGCUCAUUGAUUGGCUGUUUCCGGACAACCGUUUCGUCACUUAUCUCCGCCCCCUGUCCUGAGAAUGGAGCUGACGCUGGAGGGGGCUGCGUCAAGUGGAAGAACAGGAAGUCUAGACACUUAAAGUUUGAAAAUAAAAGAAAGCUUCUAAUUGAACGGUCAGGACAUUGACCGCUAAAGCGGUUUAAGAGAGAAACAAUAUCGACUCGAUAUACACAGGUGCUGCACUCUCAAAGACUGAAUGAACCAGCAUUGCAGCCAUGGGUCACUGUGAGCAUCACAGGGAAGGUUGAAGCCGCCCACUGCACCCGUGUGGCCGGAGUCGUGGAGACCUGCACCCAUGUCGCUGCUCUUCUGUUUAAUGUAGAAGCAACAGUGCGGAUCUGUGGCACAAGGACUGUUACAGAUGAACCUGCAUACUGGGUUUUGCCUGGUAAUAUGACCAAGAUACAGCCAGAGGUUGGCCAUAAGAGACUUCUCCUCUUCAGCUGCCCAAAAAAAGGCUCUUGAUCAAAACAUAAACAGACCAUCCGUAAUGAAAGGUAAAAGGAGCCGUCCUCAAAAAAGAAAAAUCCCACCUGCUACUGUGGAGGAGUUGUCACUGCUAUAAUGCCAUAAUGUUUUAUCUAGGGG
ensembl:lncRNA